rnacentral:rRNA from 1 species
CACGGUCCAGACUCCUACGGGAGGCAGCAGUGGGGAAUAUUGCACAAUGGAGGGAACUCUGAUGCAGCGACGCCGCGUGAGUGAAGAAGGUCUUCGGGUCGUAAAACUCUGUCCUUGGUGACGAAGAAAAUGACGGUAGCCAAGGAGGAAGCCCCGGCUAACUACGUGCCAGCAGCCGCGGUAAUACGUAGGGGGCGAGCGUUGUCCGGAUUUACUGGGCGUAAAGGGUGAGUAGGCGGUUAUAUAUGUCAGGUGUAAAAAGCUAUGGCUUAACCAUAGUAAGCACUUGAAACUGUAUGACUUGAGUGCAGGAGAGGUAAGCGGAAUUCCUAGUGUAGCGGUGAAAUGCGUAGAUAUUAGGAGGAACACCGGUGGCGAAGGCGGCUUACUGGACUGUAACUGACGCUGAGUCACGAAAGCGUGGGUAGCAAACAGGAUUAGAUACCCUGGUAGUCCACGCCGUAAACGAUGAGUGCUAGGUGUUGGGCAGCAAUG